UUUUAUAGUUUUAAAAUGGUUUUGAAUGAAUGAUGAAAUUAAAAGAAAACAAAUUUGCAUAAUUAACAAAUGAAACUAUGAGUAUAAUAAAGGCAUAAACAUAAAAAGAAAUGAAAAGAGAAAUAAAAUACUAAAAGAAAAAAAAAUGCUAAAAAAAAAUGCUACAUAUGAGUAUUGAACCCACCCCACUCAAGACUAUGAUACUACCCUUCUCCACCAGACCACUCAUGACUAGUUGUUAUUUACAAUGCUAAUUUAGAUAUAUAAACCAAGAUAAAUUAAAAAAUAGAAUUAAAAUAAAAAAAAAACUAAUAAAAAAGAAAUCUGUUGGACUACCAGUAAAUAAACCCAGCCGCUUGGCUGUUGGGUUUUAGAGAUUAAUGGGUUGGGGAAUACCAAAAUGAUGUGUUAAUGUCUACUGGAAAUACUCAAAGGUCACUUAAAUGGAGUUAAAUGGUUUUGGUUUUUAACAUUCCUACGUUAACUAAUAAUAAAAAGAAAGAAAAAUGGAAAAAAGCUAGCGUCAUUGAACCGAACUCUUCCUCUCUCAAACUCUCCAUCGCUCUCAAUCUGUA
rnacentral:lncRNA from 1 species